GGGGGGGAACCUAUUGCGUGUAACAUCUUUUCUCAGGAAGAAGCAAGUGACGGUACUUGAGGAAUCAGCAUCGGCUAACUCCGUGCCAGCAGCCGCGGUAAUACGGAGGAUGCAAGCGUUAUCCGGAAUUAUUGGGCGUAAAGCGUCCGCAGGUGGCCCGUCAAGUCUGCUGUCAAAGACUAGAGCUCAACUCUGGAAAGGCAGUGGAAACUGGUGGGCUAGAGUACGGUAGGGGUUGAGGGAAUUCCCAGUGUAGCGGUGAAAUGCGUAGAUAUUGGGAAGAACACCAGUGGCGAAGGCGCUCAACUGGGCCGUAACUGACACUCAGGGACGAAAGCUAGGGUAGCGAAUGGGAUUAGAUACCCCAGUAGUCCGAUGCACGCGUUAUCCGGAAUUUUUGGGCGUAAAGCGUCCGCAGGUGGCCCGUCAAGUCUGCUGUCAAAGACUAGAGCUCAACUCUGGAAAGGCAGUGGAAACUGGUGGGCUAGAGUACGGUAGGGGUUGAGGGAAUUCCCAGUGUAGCGGUGAAAUGCAUAAAUAUUGGGAAGAACACCAGUGGCGAAGGCGCUCAACUGGGCCGUAACUGACACUCAGGGACGAAAGCUAGGGUAACGAAUGGGAUUAGAUACCCCAGUAGUCAG
rnacentral:rRNA from 1 species